GACGAACGCUGGCGGCGUGCUUAACACAUGCAAGUCGAACGGAAAGGCCCUGCUUUUGUGUGGUUCUCGAGUGGCGAACGGGUGAGUAACACGUGAAUAUCCUUCCCUUUACUUUGUGAUAACUUCAGGAAACUGGGGCUAAUACCUGCUAGCAGCUCCUGCUACAUGGUGGGGUUUGGAACUUUUCGUCGGUUGGGGAUGUACUCGCGGCUUAUCAGCUUGUUGGUUGGGUAGUUGCUUACCAAGGCUUUGACGGGUAGCCGGCAUGGGAGGGUGACCGGCCACAUUGGGACUGAGAUACGGACCAGACUCCAAUGGGAGGCAGAAGUGGGGAAUAUUGCACAAUGGGGGGAAGCGUGAUGAAGAAACGUUGCGAGCGGGAUGCAGGCUUUGGGGUUGUAAACGGCAGUAGGCUAUGACGAAGCGUGAGUGACGGUAAUGGGUAAAGAAGCACCGGCUAACUACGUG
rnacentral:rRNA from 1 species